GCUCCUAUGCUGCCGAGAAAAGCCUCUAGUGAGUGUUGUGGCGGCCCGUACCCUAAACCGACUCAGGUGGUCAGGUAGAGAAUACCAAGGCGAUCGGGUGAACUGUGGUUAAGGAACUCGGCAAAUUGCCCCCGUAACUUCGGGAGAAGGGGGACCUCUGCUGGUGAUGGGCUUUACGUUCUGAGCUGGUGGGGGUCGCAGUGGCCAGGGGGAAGCGACUGUUUACUAAAAACACAGGUCCGUGCGAAGUCGUAAGACGAUGUAUACGGACUGACGCCUGCCCGGUGCCGGAACGUUAAGGGGACCGCUUAGCCAACGCGAGUUGGCGAAGGUGAGAACUUAAGCGCCGGUAAACGGCGGUGGUAACUAUAACCAUCCUAAGGUAGCGAAAUUCCUUGUCGGGUAAGUUCCGACCUGCACGAAUGGCGUAACGACUUCCCCGCUGUCUCAACCACAGACCCGGCGAAAUUGCACUACGAGUAAAGAUGCUCGUUUCGCGCAGCAGGACGGAAAGACCCCGGGACCUUCACUACAGCUUGACAUUGGCGUUUGGAACGUCUUGUGUAGGAUAGGUGGGAGACUGGGAAGCUGUCACGCUAGUGAUGGUGGAGUCAUUGGUGAAAUACCACUCUGGUCGUUUUGAACGUCUAACUCUGGUCCGUGAUCCGGAUCGGGGACAGUGUCUGGUGGGUAGUUUAACUGGGGCGGUUGCCUCCUAAAGAGUAACGGAGGCGCCCAAAGGUUCCCUCAGCCUGGUUGGCAAUCAGGUGUUGAGUGUAAGUGCACAAGGGAGCUUGACUGUGAGACUGACAGGUCGAGCAGGAGCGAAAGCUGGGACUAGUGAUCCGGCAUCGGCGUGUGGAAGCGGUGUCGCUCAACGGCUAAAAGGUACCCCGGGGAUAACAGGCUGAUCUUCCCCAAGAGUCCAUAUCGACGGGAUGGUUUGGCACCUCGAUGUCGGCUCGUCGCAUCCUGGGGCUGGAGUAGGUCCCAAGGGUUGGGCUGUUCGCCCAUUAAAGCGGUACGCGAGCUGGGUUUAGAACGUCGCGAGACAGUUCGGUCCCUAUCCGCUGCGCGCGCAGGAGACUUGAGGGGGGCUGUCCCUAGUACGAGAGGACCGGGACGGACGAACCUCUGGUGUGCCAGUUGUACCGCCAGGUGCACGGCUGGUUGGCUACGUUCGGAAGGGAUAACCGCUGAAAGCAUCUAAGCGGGAAGCUCGCCUUGAGAUGAGGUCUCCCACCCCGUGAGGGGGUAAGGCUCCCGGUAGAUCACCGGGUUGAUAGGCCGGAGGUGGAAGCACGGUAACGUGUGGAGCUGACCGGUACUAAUAGGCCGAGGACUUGACC
rnacentral:rRNA from 1 species